rnacentral:lncRNA from 1 species
AGGGUUAAUUGUUGCGCGCGCUCACGACCGGCCAGGAAGAACGACGCUGCUACAGGAUCCUUCUGCACACGUUUAUUCAGUCCUAUUUCUUCUUGUUUAUAUCUCGCUUGUUUAUAUCUCUCUUGUUUUUAUAUCUCCCUUGUUUAUAUCUCCCUUGUUUAUAUCUCCCCCGAACCCUGGGCCUCUCACUCCUUUUAUACUCUCAGUUCCCAUCCACGCACAGCAGGCCACGCCGCCUCACCAGGCACGCAGCUUCAGCUAAUCAGGGCAGCAGGGGCAUAUCUCCAUCAAACUGGAUUCACCUGUAUCCUGGUACACCUGCGCAGCACUCAAGAUGUUUGUGUCUUAUAUGAGGAAGUCAGGUCCAUGAACUUUUGAAGAUACAGUCCUGCUGCAAAGAUAGUGUAUUCCCCAGCUCUUUCCCAGAAAAUGAUAAAACUUUCUCUGGCUG